rnacentral:rRNA from 1 species
AGAGAUGUGUGAUGACGCAUAUCAAUAAGCGGAGGAAAAGAAACUAACAAGGAUUCCCUAGUAACGGCGAGUGAAGCGGGAAGAGCUCAAAUUUGAAAUCUUAAAGGUUUUCCCUUGACGAAUUGUAGUUUAAAGAAGUGUUUUCUGUUGGAGUUUCGGUAAAAGUUCUUUGGAAUAGGACAUCAUAGAGGGUGAGAAUCCCGUAUUUGACCAUUACUUUCCAGCUGUGUGAUACACUUUCAAAGAGUCGGAUUGUUUGGGAAUGCAGUCCAAAAUGGGUGGUAAAUUUCAUCUAAAGCUAAAUAUUGGCGAGAGACCGAUAGCGAACAAGUACCGUGAGGGAAAGAUGAAAAGAACUUUGAAAAGAGAGUUAAACAGUACGUGAAAUUGUCAAAAGGGAAGCGUUUGACACCAGUGUUGUUUAGUUGAAAAUCAAUUAAAUAUUUUUCGAUUUUAAGUAGUAUUGACCUUAUCAGCUUGCUGCUUUUUUCUCGGAAAUUAUUUAAUGCACUUUUCAGUUAACAAGUCAACAUCAAUUUCUUUUGUUGUAAAAAGGUAAGAGGAAGGUGGCUUGCGCUUCGGCUCAAGUGUUUAUAGCCUUUUACCCCUGCAAUCGGAGAGAUUGAGGUCUGCAGCGUAGAUCCUUCGGGGUUAGAUACAUUUGUGCUAAGCUAUAGCCUUGUAUAGACAACUUGUUGACUAUGCUCAGUCAUGUAGCUUACUCGCUUAUGCUAUUUUACCUACGCUUAGGAUGUUGAAGAUGUAGCACAUCAU